rnacentral:tRNA from 1 species
GGGCGAUUAGCUCAGUUGGGAGAGCACCUGCCUUACAAGCAGGAGGUCUACUGGUUCGAGCCCGGUAUCGCUCC